UACGUAGGGGGCAAGCGUUGUCCGGAUUUACUGGGCGUAAAGAGCGCGCAGGCGGUCGUUCAAGUCGAGUGUGAAAGCCCCCGGCUCAACUGGGGAGGGUCAUUCGAUACUGAUCGACUCGAAGGCAGGAGAGGGAAGUGGAAUUCCCGGUGUAGUGGUGAAAUGCGUAGAUAUCGGGAGGAACACCAGUGGCGAAGGCGACUUCCUGGCCUGUUCUGACACUGAUGAGCGAAAGCCAGGGGAGCAAACAGG
rnacentral:rRNA from 1 species